AAGUAGUAAACGAAAGAAAGUAAAUGACCGCUUAGUGAAGAAAGUGUGCGCGCGUUAUCGCGUUGCUAGCAUGUGAGCACGCAAACACACUUGAUGUCUCUCUUUCUCUGGAGGGAUCAAUUGUUCUCUCUCGUUCUCUUGCAUUGGCGGUAACGCAUUCGAACUUGGCGAUGCUAUGUGUGAUCAGGGCUAGAGAUCUCUUCUCUAGUUAAUGAACGGACUCCCUGGAAUCGGUUCAGCCGGAGGUAGGGACGUUGUUUCCGUAUAGUGCCACGGUUUCUGUGGUAUCCCGUGUAUCGCGCAUGGCCCUUGAAAAGCCAAGGGAGCAGUUCAAUUCACAUUACUGAUCGUACCCAUAUCCGCAGCAGGUCUCCAAGGUUCGUAGCCCCUAGUC
rnacentral:ncRNA from 1 species